rnacentral:rRNA from 1 species
GGAAAAAUCUUUGAAGAAGAAACGAUUGUGGAAGGCGAAACCAUUAGUUCAAGCAGGUGGCCAUGUACAAGUUCAUAUGCGAACCCCACAAAUUUUCUCCGAGACAAGAACAACCAUGAGAAGAGGGAUUCUCCAUCUUCAGCAGCAGAUUCCUCUGCCAAGAACGAUUCUUCGUCUGUGGUAGCUGAAGCUUCACCAAAGAAUAAUUCAAGUGUUUUGGCCACAGAAAACAAUCUAACACCUGGCAUGAGUAGCCACGCCCGAUCGUCCCCUCCUCCCCUAACCCUAACUGCGCCACCAGCCGCCCCUCCCCGCUUCUCCCCCGCUUCGCCGCCGCCGGAGGGGACACCGGCGAAGCCCGCGUGGUCCCCAGGGAAGAUGGCGGCGGGGCGUACUCGCCGUUCUCGCGCAGAUCUCGCGGCGGCCGGUGGCGCGCGGUGGUGUUCCGCCGGGGGCUGGUGCCUGCUGCCCGUGAGGCGGCGUCCCUCACGACGGCGGGGCUGCCCCUGA